rnacentral:other from 1 species
GUUCCCCUGCGUGGUACGUGAUCGGGAACGGAUGCGUCGAACCGAUACUCCAUCACAGGGGGCACUUCCUACCGACCGCCAGCAGACCUUCCGAGCGAAGGGAGCAGGCGCCGGUGUCAGCGGCCCCCACCUGCUGAAGCAGGGUUCGAUGGAUGCUCCCACACGGCCAAGGCGGGGGAUCU